AAAAAAAAAGAAGAAAAUUUCAUUUUUUCUUUUCUUCUUCUUCUUCUCUUCCCUUCACCGCCAAACAUUUUGAAGAAAAUUUCUCAUCCAACUUCCAUUCUUUUCCUUCUUCAAUUUACAAAGAACAUUUAAGAGAGAGUUUGGAAGAAGAAGAGGAAUUUUACUAGAAUUUUGUGGUUGAAGAAGAGAAGGAGAACUCAAGCAAAGUGUAUCCAUGGCCGAAUCUUGGUUCAUUCUGCACAUCACUGGUUUUUAAUUCGGUGUGAACUCUUCAAAAGGAAUUAAGAGGCCGAGAAGAAUUAAACCGAGCUUAUAGACCAAGGAUCUAGCCCAAGACGGUGAGUGACAAAACCAACUUUGAAAUAUUUUCCAUAAUUGUUAUUAUGAUUGAAUGCGAUAAAUGUUUAUUUACGAAGCCAUGAAAGGUAUUUGAAUUUCAUGACUAUUUUCAAGUAUACAUUUGGAGACUAUAUUUCUUAUAGAAAUUUAUGUUAGCACGUAGAUAUUAAAUGUUUGGAAAGUAUUUAAACCACAAUGUUUUAAGCAAAGCAUGAAUUAGUAAGAAGUUUUGUUUUAAGAACUACAAUUUUCCACGAAAGAGCUGAGUAAAGUUCGAGCUUUGUGUAAAAUUUAUAAGCGGACAUGUUUUAAUAUUUUUAGAUGAUUUAUGAAAUUUUCAUUAACUACAUGAUUGAGAUCUUGAGCCUGAGGCUAGAGAUUACCGUGUGCACACUGGUUAGAUUCCAUUGUUGACGUGAGUGUACUCCGUAACAACGAUGCUGUCGUGAGUGCUGGAUGGGUCCCACUAUGACAAAGACAAUGGAAGUGCUGGACGGACCCCACUACAUCGUAGAGCUUGUAAACGUUGUUGUACUGGGUGUACCCUACACAACGUAGAUUGGUCAUGUUAGUUAAAAUGCUUCGAUAUACAUGAAAUGUCUUGCUAGAUUUCAAUGACGAACAUGCUGAGUAUUUGAGGAAGCUAUUCUUACUACUACACUUUUACAUUUAUGACUUGUAUAAACAGAUUUAUAUGCGUAAAGUUUUCACGUGCUUUUAUCUUUAAAUUCAUAGUUUUAAACUGAGUCACUCACUGAGCUUCAUAGCUCACCCUUUCCAAAAUGUUUUACCCAUUUUCCAAGUAGAGAUCGAGUUCUCGGUGCCUGAUAGACUGCCUUAGUCUGCUGAAGCUCCGUUAUCGAUUGCCAGUACGUGUUUUGAGUUGGGCAUAGAGUCUGUUGUGUUAUGAUGUAUAUACACCCUUGUAUGUUAUAGAUAUUCCACAGUUUGUAUAAGCUUUAGGAGCUGCAGUUGUGUAAAUUUUUGUUGGUUAUAUUUUGAUUAAGGUGUCUUUAGGUUUACUCGUGAAAUCAGUAAAUUUCGAGGUACACUUCAUGUAUGUGUUUGACUAGCUUAGGAUCCGCUGUGUUUUGUUGCAUGUAUAAUAGUUUAUAUACUAGAUUGGAAAGUUUAUCACAUGAAAGUUUUAAGCAGAGUCGACAAAUACAGGUAUAGAAAAGCGUUGUUCGUCGGCUUCACGCCGUCUUUCGGUCUAAGGUAGCAGGUAGUCCGGGAGGGGGUGUGACAGGGAUUCCCGAUGCGUUUUUGUCAGUGUGUCGAAAAUUUCUCUCCCAAUGCAUUACUCUCGACUUGCUUCCUAAUGGCACUAUAUAUAUGUCGAAAGAUCCUUUAUUGAAUCUAUUUAGUAUAUAUGCCGAUGCUUAAGCUGCGUCUGGAGAUCACAAUUUUCUUGUAGUGAAAGCAUUAGGUGAGAUGCACACUAGGAGAGGAGACUUGUCAUGAAAGCAAAAUGAUAGGCUAGGCGUGGAACAAGGAAGAGUCUUGCGGCCAUGGUGUAGAGAAAGUUCAAUUUCGGCUGAAUCAUGUGUUUACCCAAAGAACAUACAACAAGUUUAUGAACGAGGGAGACAAUACCGAAUUUGAAUUUGACCCCAAGAUUGAACGAACUUUUUUUUCAGCAAAAAAAAGUAAAGAAGAGAGAGAUGACAAAGAAUGGCUAACAAUCAAAGGAUCCCUUUAAAUCCCAACUAUAACAGUGACCUUAGAAAUGAACAUCCUAUUCAACCUAGGUCGCCCAAUUUGUACUACUUCAACCUAGGUAUUGCCCACCCUGUAUUUGUUAGGUUUAUCAUGAAGCUGGUAAAUAUAAUUCAUUUUCAAUAGAAGUUCUGGAGAUACUAUUUAAGGGAACACUCAUUUACUUACCUCUUAAAAUCGAGAAGGAGCAAAUCCCAUGUUGUAUGAUUAUGUUCCAAACUAUCCUCUUUAUCUUGUCCUAAAAAUGGUAGGCUUAUUGAGUAGGCCAUCUGACCACUCUCACCCAUACAAAUCAAAGGACAAUCCUUUGGAAUAGAAGUUCGUAUACACUCAGGAUUAUGACUAAAGUUAUCUAGGUCAUCCUAUUGAAAUAAAAGCUUAACUAAUCAACGAAGUUAAAUCCAUUGGUUACUAUAUCAAACUCAUUGCAUAUGAUACCCACACUCACGUUUCACGUACACAAACGUGUUGGAUCAUUAUGUUUGUAUCAAAUACAAAGUUAGUUGUAUCCAUAGUGUUACAAUGAUAAGGUACCCGUCCUUAUACUUAUAUUAUAGACUGUUUAAGUUGUAUCUCGAAUAUUGAUCCUUGUAUGUCUCUACAUACAGUUCAAGACUCAUCAACCAACUUAGGAUGUUAGUUUACUGGAUUUAGGUCAUAAAGAAAAACUACUAAAUUAAUCAAUAACACUUUAUUAGAAUUACAAUAAUAACACUUUAUUAUUAAUGGUCAGUGGAUUACAUUUUCUAUCUACGAGUUUUAGCACACAAAACUGAAUA